CUCCAUCCUUCCCGACUCCUCUGUAGAUCUCGAUCGGCUUCUUCCAUCUCCUUUGUCAGCCCCGACUCCCCAGGUCUCACUGUUUCCAGAUCCCCAACCCUCCCCAUCCAUGGCCGCCGCCACCUCCCCAUCCAUGGCCGCCGCCACCUCCCCAUCCAUGGCCAUCUUCUAGGGGAAGAUCCCGCAACCGCUGCGGCGAUAGCCUCGUUCCCGGAGGCGGGGACGACCCUGAAGGCGAACCUAGUGCACGCGACGCCGGUGCCGUUAUUGCGGGUCGGGCGGCGGUCAGAUCCACCACGGCAACAACCGGCGUCCUCUCCCUCUCUAUCCAUCUUUCUCCCAUGACUGAGAAGAGGGCUUCGUCAAGGAUCCCAUUAUGGAUGUCAACGUGGGAGGCUGCUUCCUCCCCUUCCAGAUCGACCAUCCAUGGAUGGAGGCUAUGAGAGCUGAGUGAGCACACACAUGGUUGCGCUUCAAGGUCAGCCCUUGCCCAUCUUUUCAAUUCGAUUUGAUUUGAUCUCCUUCCCUGAUUUCCUUCGCCACACAGCUGCAGCUCAAUAGAUGCAGGGACGCCGCAAUGGAGCAAGUAAGGCCUCCCUUCUCCCACUGUUUCUUCAGAUCCGCCACGGCCAGCCAUAUCCGGCGCCCCUGCACCACCGUGGUGAGGUGGAAGAAAUCUCUUGAGGCCAAACCGCAGGGAGGAUGGCGGCCAACAAUCGGUACAUGUUCUCAAGGUCCCAUGGAACUGGGUACAGGUGCGGCUGUGUGCUCGUGAUCCCCAUCCAAUGCUGCGCAUCCAAGGCAACGUCGCGCCGGUCCUUGGGAGCAUAGGUUGAGGUGAUAUGGUGACUUCCUUCACUGAUGUCGGCGGGGAUGGCUGGAUCUGUGUCCGGGAAGGCAUGGGAAUGACCCCUGGUUGCUGUCUGUUGAGCGUUGGGAGGCAGUGGCUGCAAAGUAGCAUAGGGUGUUCUCUAGCACUUGUUUGGCACUUGUUUGGCACUUGUUUGUAGAUUGAAGUUUCUUGUGUUUUUGCUCCAGCACAUGGUAUCGUCUCGACAUGUGUGUAAUUUUGCGUUUUUGUGGUCUUUUUUCCUUUUGCAUAAAUUGUUAUUUUUCUGGUGAUUUCCUUUUAUUUAAUUACAUAGCAUGUAUUUUCUAUAAAAAAUAUUGGCUUAAAUUAAA